UACGUAGGGUGCGAGCGUUAAUCGGAAUUACUGGGCGUAAAGCGUGCGCAGGCGGUUCUCCAAGUCCGUUGUGAAAGCCCCGGGCUCAACCUGGGAAUGGCAGUGGAAACUAGGGGACUGGAAUCUGGCAGAGGGGGGUGGAAUGCCGCGUGUAGCAGUGAAAUGCGUAGAUAUGCGGAGGAACACCGAUGGCGAAGGCAAUCCCCUGGGCCUGCAUUGACGCUCAUGCACGAAAGCGUGGGGAGCAAACAGG
rnacentral:rRNA from 1 species